AUUUUAUGGUAUGGAAUAUCCCUUUGGCCAGCUCAGGACAGCUGUCCUGGCCACGCUCCCUCAUGGCUUUUUGUGUGUCUCCUUGUUGGCAGAGUAUAAGAAAAAGAAAAAUCCUUGACUUAGGGCGAGGACUGCAGAGCAACAACUGAAACAUCAGCGUGUUAUCAGCAUGAUUCUCCUGCUAAAUCCACAAUGCAGCAUUGUACCAGCUACUAGGAAGAAAAUUAACUCCAUCUCAGCCAAAACUAGGACAACUGGUCAUCAAGUGUACCUUUGUAUCUCAAGCUAGUGUUAAAAAGCUUCAAUAAAUGAGACUUGACAACCUGCUUUGGCGAUCCAAUAGUAGGGAGAGGUGCUGGAGAAGUGAUACCCCUGCAGCCCAUUGUGAAGAUCAUGGUGAGGCUGUCCCCCUGCAGCCCACAGAGGUCCACAGUGGAGCAAAUAUCCACCAUGAAGCAGAUAUCCCAUAGAGGAACUCAUGACAGAGCAGGGGAAUGCCUAAAGGAGGCUGUGACCCCUUGGGAAGCCCAUGCUGGAACAUGCUCCUAGCAGGACCUGUGGCCUCAUGGAGAGAGGAACCCCUGUUGGAGCAGGUGAGGAGGGGAGUGAUAAAAAAGACUUCUGUGAGCACCUGGUGUCCAGCCAGGUUCAACUCACCUCGGUCAGUAAGAAGAUAUUUGGUAAGCGCAGUCUUUGGGCAUGUGACAAGAUAGCAUUUGUAAUGUUAUCAGAAUAAUCUGUAGUGAUUUAAAAUCCUAUUGUAGUUUCUGUAUCACUAGUUUCAUUAUUUGAUUAAAGUCCAGCAGAGCAUUAAGGAUUACAUUUUACUGAGCAUGAAUGAUUUACAAUUAGUUAGAAAAAAUAAAGGUAUUAAGGAAUGUGCCAGGUUAAUUUAUUUGACAAAUGAGUGUAAAGCUACUUACACAAACAUUUCAAAAGAGAGAAGCACCUGGUUCAUAAUGUAUUUUGUAGAAGUAAUGAAAAAAGUAAUUAUUGAGAACUGUAAAAACACUGCCAGGAGGUAUAGCUAAGAUCUAGCUCACUAGGAAUGCAGGGGCUGACUUCCACUGCACCUCAUAGUUGUACUGGGUCCCUCCCCCGACUAACCCACUGGGUGACAGUCAGUAAGCUGAGGAAUCCUCAGGUAGGGAAGACAUAAGCAAUACUUGGCAGUUAGGGCAUGGUUUGGUAUCCAGUCUGGGGUUUGUAUAAGGGGAUAAUUGUAAUUCUUUUGUAUUACAGUAUCUGAUAAGGCCAAGCUUUUAGUAUUUUCCAGUUUAAUGUCAAUAAUACUACAGUAAUGUUGAUAUCUAGCUUUUUAAAACACUAGCCAUUUUUAAUUUGUUUAUGUCGGUGACGCUUGUUAUUUUACAGCAGUAUAGGAAACACCUCGUGGUGAGAAACACCUAGUGGUGACUGAUUUAAGCCACUUGCUGUCUGUUUUUACUUGAUCGUGAUGUUGCUUUGUCAACAGGAUCAGCAGCAUAACGUGCAGCGUUACAAACGUAAAGAAAUAAACUUUUCUAAAAAGUCCAACUGUGCAGAUUCAUCUCUGUGGGCAUUGUUGGGUUAGGUUGUCACAUUGGAGUAUUAUA